CAGGUACGCACGGUAGAAGCCCAGCUUGCUGGGUGGAUCAGUGGCGAACGGGUGAGUAACACGUGAGCAAUCUGCCCCUGACUCUGGGAUAAGCGCUGGAAACGGCGUCUAAUACUGGAUAUGAACCGUGGAGGCAUCUUCAACGGUUGGAAAGAUUUUUUGGUCAGGGAUGAGCUCGCGGCCUAUCAGCUUGUUGGUGAGGUAAUGGCUCACCAAGGCGUCGACGGGUAGCCGGCCUGAGAGGGUGACCGGCCACACUGGGACUGAGACACGGCCCAGCCUGGCCUGAGACCCGGCCCAACUCGACGAAGCAGCAGUGGGGAAUAUUGCACAAUGGGCGCAAGCCUGAUGCAGCAACGCCGCGUGAGGGAUGACGGCCUUCGGGUUGUAAACCUCUUUUAGCAGGGAAGAAGCGAAAGUGACGGUACCUGCAGAAAAAGCGCCGGCUAACUACGUGCCAGCAGCCGCGGUAAUACGUAGGGCGCAAGCGUUAUCCGGAAUUAUUGGGCGUAAAGAGCUCGUAGGCGGUUUGUCGCGUCUGCUGUGAAAUCCCGAGGCUCAACCUCGGGUCUGCAGUGGGUACGGGCAGACUAGAGUGCGGUAGGGGAGAUUGGAAUUCCUGGUGUAGCGGUGGAAUGCGCAGAUAUCAGGAGGAACACCGAUGGCGAAGGCAGAUCUCUGGGCCGUAACUGACGCUGAGGAGCGAAAGGGUGGGGAGCAAACAGGCUUAGAUACCCUGGUAGUCCACCCCGUAAACGUUGGGAACUAGUUGUGGGGUCCAUUCCACGGAUUCCGUGACGCAGCUAACGCAUUAAGUUCCCCGCCUGGGGAGUACGGCCGCAAGGCUAAAACUCAAAGGAAUUGACGGGGACCCGCACAAGCGGCGGAGCAUGCGGAUUAAUUCGAUGCAACGCGAAGAACCUUACCAAGGCUUGACAUAUACGAGAACGCUGCAGAAAUGUAGAACUCUUUGGACACUCGUAAACAGGUGGUGCAUGGUUGUCGUCAGCUCGUGUCGUGAGAUGUUGGGUUAAGUCCCGCAACGAGCGCAACCCUCGUUCUAUGUUGCCAGCACGUAAUGGUGGGAACUCAUGGGAUACUGCCGGGGUCAACCUCGGAGGAAGGUGGGGAUGACGUCCAUAAUCAUCAUGCCCCUUAUGUCUUGGGCUUCACGCAUGCUACAAUGGCCGGUACAAAGGGCUGCAAUACCGUAAGGUGGAGCGAAUCCCAAAAAGCCGGUCCCAGUUCGGAUUGAGGUCUGCAACUCGACCUCAUGAAGUCGGAGUCGCUAGUAAUCGCAGAUCAGCAACGCUGCGGUGAAUACGUUCCCGGGUCUUGUACACACCGCCCGUCAAGUCAUGAAAGUCGGUAACACCUGAAGCCGGUGGCCCAACCCUUGUGGAGG
rnacentral:rRNA from 1 species